UACGAAGGGUGCAAGCGUUACUCGGAAUUACUGGGCGUAAAGGGUGCGUAGGUGGUCGUUUAAGUCCGUUGUGAAAUCCCUGGGCUCAACCUGGGAAUGGCAGUGGAUACUGGACGGCUAGAAUGCGGUAGAGGGUAGUGGAAUUCCCGGUGUAGCAGUGAAAUGCGUAGAGAUCGGGAGGACCACCAGUGGCGAAGGCGGCUACAUGGACCAGCAUUGACACUCAAGCACGAA
rnacentral:rRNA from 1 species